AAAGGGUCCUGUUUUAAACACCAGGAGCUGCAUUCAGUCAAAAGGCUCAAGCAAGAGCAACAUCGGCUUCUCUUCUGGUCUUACAUCCUGUGCACACACCUGGCAGAGUUCUGCAAACUUGACAAGCAGUAGAGAAACCUGAGAAUGUUGUGAGAGACAAAGCAUGCAAUUUGGAACUGUACACUGGAUUCCUCUUGUUUGGCUACCUCCUCUGAAACCAGGGAAUGGCUUUCCAGGAGACUUCGAUGACAGAGGAGGACAGGCUUGUCACGGACACACCAGAGGGGGCUACGACACCAACUUUGACUUCAUAUGGUGAAAACGGCAGGAUGCUUUCGUUCCUGAAGACGUAUCUGGGUGUGUCAGGAGAGGUGACUACAGUCUGUAUCCAUGUUGUGGUGCCAAAGGGGCGAAAAGCGACGACAUAUCCAAACCCUUCUCCAUUCUGUAACUCCUCGGGGAUGGGCUGUGAGAAAAGCAAUCAGUGACUGAAGCCUGUGAUGUUACGUACUGCACUGGAAAAGCUUUGAAGGAGCAAAGCAUCACUGUGAAUGUAUUGCAUGCAGCUGAAACUUGUUCUGGUCUGCAUUUGGGAUCACUGCAUCAACAAAUAAACUCUGGUACAGUAGAGUGAAAUGCUUUCAUUUGAAACUAUCUGCACAUCAAAAACAGAGCAACUCCCACAUACAUUUCUUGCUCUCCAUCUAACAGUAGCAAGUGGAACAGGGAAGGCAAAUGUGCAUAGCUCACAUUACAGAAUGUUACCGAGCACAUAUACACCCUAGAUAAGAAGCUGCUGCAGCCAGG
rnacentral:lncRNA from 1 species